GGUAUUCUUUUAUUCAUUUAUAGAGAUCAAAGAGUUCUUGAAAAUACAUUAUGCAACCUUCUUAGCAAUUCAAGAUGUUUGAAUAAAAAAUACGAGUAUUUCACCGUGGAAACACAAACAGUAUUCCCUCCGUUUUUCUUAAUAAGACGUAUUGAUAUGUUUAGAUGCAAGACUAUAACCAUAAAAAUUUUUAAUAAAAAUUUAAUAAUAUCAAACUUGCAUCACCAAAAUUAUGAAGAGUAAUUAUAGAUGUUUCUUGUCCAAUAAAAUAUCAAACGGAGGGAUAUCAGUUUUUUUUUUUUGAGGGGAAGAGGGGAUAUCAGUUUGUACCAGUUUUCCAGCCGAGCCAUUCAGGCCCAGGUACUUGAAUUGCAACUCGAUAUGAGACUUGGUUCAGCCCAGUCUCAAAAGAAGUCGGGCUGUGGGCUGGCCGUGCAAACAUGGUUCAAUCCAAGCAGACUUGCCAGUUUGCCACUGACAUUUAGCAGAAGACCGGCCCAGGGCCAGCAUCAAUCUCGGCGGCGGCGGCGGCGGCGGAAUGGCGAAGGUCAGCGAGUCCGCGGCGAAGUCUGCGUCCACCGCGGCCCCUCCUCCCCCUCCCGCUUCCGCGCCGCCUUCGAGGCCGAAGGCGAAGCACCGGCUGGAGGUCGAGGGGUACCCCGUGGAGGGCGUCUCCAUCGGCGGCCAGGAGACCUGCGUCAUCUUCCCCACGCUGAGCCUCGCCUUCGACAUCGGCCGGUGCCCGCAGCGCGCCGUCUCGCAGGAGUUCCUCUUCGUCUCCCACGGGCACCUCGACCACAUCGGGGGCCUCCCCAUGUACGUGGCCACGCGGGGGCUCUUCAGGCUGCGCCCGCCCACCAUCUUCGUCCCGGCGUGCCUCCGGGACCUCGUGGAGCGGCUCUUCGAGGUGCACCGCGCCAUAGACCAGUCCGAGCUCAAGCACAACCUGGUCCCCCUCGAGGUCGGGGAGGAGUACGAGUUCAGGAGGGACCUCAAGGUCAGGGCUUUCAGGACCUACCACGUCAUACCCAGCCAGGGGUAUGUGAUAUACUCGGUGAAGCAGAAGCUCAAGCAGGAGUUCAUUGGCCUCCCGGGGAACGAGAUCAAGCGGCUCAAGUUAUCAGGUGUGGAGAUCACGAAUACGGUGUCGACCCCUGAAAUUGCUUUCACGGGAGAUACAACAUCAGAUUUCAUUCUUGAUCCAGAUAAUGCAGACGUGCUGGCAGCAAAAAUUCUUGUUGUGGAGAGUACUUUUCUAGAUGACUCCAUUCCUGUUGAGCAUGCAAGAGAAUAUGGGCACACACACUUAUUUGAGUUUAUUUUUGGCAAAGCAGAUAGCAAGCCAGUCUGACAAGCUUGGAAACAAAGCUAUUCUACUCAUUCACUUUUCUGCUCGUUAUACUACAGAGGAAAUUGAUGCAGCAAUAAACAGAUUGCCACCGUCAUUCCGAAGCAGAGUUUAUGCGUUGAAGGAAGGCUUCUAAAGAAACAUGAACGGACAAAUCUGCAAUGACAUUUUCUGGAUGUCAUUGCGGAUGCUACUGCAGCAAUCAUCUGGGCAUCUGGCAAAUGAGUAUGGAGACCGAGGGCACUGCAUCCAACCACACCGGACUAGAAUUGGCAUGACUAUCAUAGCUUGGCUUGCAAAUGAGCUUCCUCAUGAAACAGAACCAAUAUGCAUGAAUCGAAGACAUGUGCAACAGAAUCAGCAACGUUAACGAAUGGCAUGGAUCACAGAACCAGUCACAGAUUUGUCUUCACAAUGCUACUUUACCUCUGAGGUGACUUCUAAGCAGUCUGAAGUUGUCUAAGAAUUACUGAUGUCCAAACUCUUAGCGAUUCUGAUGCGCACAGCUCGGCCAGCCAGAUCUUCGUUGUGUGUUGCCAACUUUUGAGGAAGAGUCGUCUGUAUGGAGUCUUGACAGGUUGCCUGUAAAGUUGAAGAGGAUCAUGCAUGAAGCCAUCAAGUGGAAACAGGAUUAGUUCCACUGAAGCCUCAGGUAGAAAAAUGAGCUUAGGCUUGUACAUACUUCAAUUACAUUUUCAGUCUAGACACUGAACUUAGAAAGCUGUCAUACAGUGAUGCUAGCGAUCCUGAAAUGUGGGGAUAAGGUCGAUCGAUAAGCCGUAGUCCGUGGAUCUCCGUAUAAAGCUUACCCAGUAAUGGUGCCAUUUAUGCUGACAAGAUGUCUGCAAACUCAUAUAGCCUUCAAAACACCCAAAGAGGGAAAAUUAAUACCUCAUGAAUGAAAUCGACAAUAUUCUA